rnacentral:lncRNA from 1 species
GUGUGGAUCCUCAGAGCCUCCUGGAACUCGCUGUGCAGCCACAUCAGUUUGCCAAGCCCUGGUCACCCCAAUCCCCAGCUUCUUCCUCAACCUACCUAGCCCGUUGUUGAUGUACCAGCGCGUCUCAGGAUCAAGUGCACGUGUGUAGCUACAACAGAGUUCUGAAAGUGUGAAACGUACUAAACCAAGCAUGUGUGCGGAGUGGCCUCACAGGCGAACUCAGAAUACUCAGAACUCUUUUACCAGCUGAGGAAACCAUCCUACUCCUUUCUCCCACCCUCCAGACUCCCAGGUCACCAGUAUUUGGUAUUUGAGAACUGUGAGUACCAGUCUUGUGGGAAGUGAAGAGAGAUUUAAGUUUAUGCUAAUCUUCCCCUCUCAAAGCCUAAUUACUUAAAGGCCAUUGGUCUGUGUGAACUCCUACAGCUAUUAAGAGUUAGGGAAGUCACAUAUUAAUUAUUCAAAUGAUUGAUCUGCUGGAUGAAUUAGCCCCCACCUUCCCCUCAUGUCCCAGCCUCUGAGGUGCUUUCCCCAUUUGUCAGCCACUGUGUACCGUGGGAUGCAAGCUGUCCCUAAUUGUUGGAGCAGUACAUCUGCUGAUCCAAAAAAUAAGAAGUACAUGCAGAUGGUAACAUUCUGGGUUCAGUCGCUUAGAAGAUUUCUCGUGCAUUACAGCGCUGCUCCUUUCUAUUACCACAGACCCUCAAGGGUAGCUGCGAAGGGAAGAAUUUAGUGGCAAUCUGUGCCCACAUCCAGAUAAGGGAUGGACUGCUCCAGGCUCUUUGAUGUCCAGAAGAGCCUAGAGUCUGUGGGGUGGGAUUUCCCUGAGAGCAGUACUUCCAUUCCUCAAAGACAGCCUGGGAGAGUGAAAAAACAAACACACGGAAAAAUAGGACAACUGAAGCCUGACGAAAUAAGCUGGUACCUUACCCACCCCAGGGCAUCUUGUGAGUUCAGCUUUGCUGGGUCUUGCAGAAAAAUCACUCACUGUUUCUCUGUCUUUUAUAGAGACAUGUUUUCUUAUUAUUCCAUAAGGAGUGGCUAUGUAUUGUACAAACUACAGGAAUCACAGAUAAGCAAAAUAACAUACAGCUAACUGCAGAUGAGCAAAGUAAAAUAUAAUAAAACAAAAAUCACCUGUAAUCCUACCCAUACUAUCACUGCUACACUUUGCUAUAUAUCCUUCCAGUCCUGUGUUUGUGUUUGUGUGUGUGUAUGUGUGUGUGUGUGCAUGUGUUUUAGUAAAAAUGAGGUCAUAUUGUAAAUGCUAUUUGACAGUCUGCCUUUUUAAUCAACAAUAUUAUGAAGGCUUUUCAUGGCUUCAAAUUUUCUGCUUUAUUACCGUUAUUAUUGAAAAUAAAUUCUCAAUAUAUGGUAGCUACUUUUAUGUGCCAUGCACUAUGCUAAGAGCUCCAAUUAAGUCAUGUCAUUUAGUCAUUUCUGUGACUCUAGGAAGUGGAUAUCAUUAUCCCCAUUUCACAGAUUAGGAAAUUAAGUCUCAGAGCUUGAGUAAUUUAAAAUAUGCCACAAAAGUGGUAAGUGACAUCACAGAUUAGAGCCCAGUUCUGCUGAGAAAGCUCAGGUUUUUAAUCAAUAUGAUAAGACUUCCGCUUAGCAUCAUCUUCUAAUAAUCUUUUGAGUAAAAACAGGGAUAGAUCAACAGGUAGUAGGUGAAUCAGGCAACUGACAAUCAAAAGACAUACAGAAACAAAUGUAAGUAUAAUCAAGCAUAUCAUCAUAUACAUGGAUGUGCAGGGGUGUUUGUAGAUCACAGAGAUAUAAUGAUACAAUCCGGGAUCAAAAGAAGGAAAAUCAGAAGUGAGAGUGAGGUCAGAGGAAAUGACAUGGAAAGUGUUUUUCAUCCUUUCCCUGGGCAAGUUGAGGACAUCUCUGAGAAGUAGAAACUACCCUUUAUCUCCUUUUCAUCCUUAUAACCAAUCUUCUUCAGUCACAUUUGGUGGCUCCCCUUCCUUGUCUCACCCACUAGCUGGGGAUAUUUCCCAAGGAAGACCACAUUCUUUUCUUUCCUUUUCUCCCUCAGGUGUCUCAGGCCUCCGGAUAGCCUACCUCUUAUCAUCAGAUGAUUUUCAAGUCAAUAUCUAGCUCUCCCCUUUAUCCAGAGUUAUGCUUCUGCAGCUCCAAAUGCCUGUGGAUUGCUCUACGUGCAUAUCCCAGUCAUUUCAAAUUCAAGAUGUAGAGCUCAACUCUCCCCUCCAAAAUUGAUUCUCCUUCUCAUCCCUCAAUUUCUGUUAGUGGCAUUAUUGCUCUCUCACUCUCUGGGCUCCAAUCUCAACUUAUCUUUGAUCAUUCCUCUUCCAUAGCCCACUUCUAAGCAGCUCCUCCCCACCACACCUUGCUCAGAGAAGUAAGCCCUAGCCUUUCCUUGAGCAUAAAUUGAAGGGUGGUAGCAGGUAUAAGCCUGGGGUCACACAUUCCAACAGGAUUCCAUCACAGGUGCAUCUGACCCACCACAAAAGGGAAGAGAGAACACGAUGAAUAUCUUUUGUUUUGGCCUGCCCAGUGUCCCUUCUUCUAGUAAUGGAAUCAUCUCUUCAUUUGGAGAAGACAACCCUCCCCCAUUAUCCAUCCACAGUUUUCAAGUGGGGCUGACUCACUUCCCAGCUCCAAAAGCCUGGGCACCUGAAUCAGGCCAGACUAAUCAGAGUCAGAGAGAGUGGACCAGGAAUGGACAUGUGACUCAAUCUAGGCCAAUGGAAAUCAUUCCAGCAACCAGCGGUACUCCAGUUAGUGUUUCUCACGUCAGCCUGGUGUCCAGAGUGAGAGUAACGUGGAACAGAGCCCCCAGCUGACCUGUGACGGACACAUAGCAUGAG